UACGGGGGGGGGUAAGCGUUGUUCGGAAUUACUGGGCGUAAAGGGCUCGUAGGCGGCCAACUAAGUCAGACGUGAAAUCCCUCAGCUUAACUGGGGAACUGCGUCUGAUACUGGAUGGCUUGGAUUCGGGAGAGGAAUGCGGAAUUCCAGGUGUAGCGGUGAAAUGCGUAGAUAUCAGGAGGAAUACCGGUGGCGAAAGCGACUCUCUGGACGGUAACUGACGCUGAGGCACGAAAGCGUGGGGAGCAAACAGG
rnacentral:rRNA from 1 species